rnacentral:tRNA from 1 species
GUUCCUGUAGUUGAAUUACAACGGUGGUUUUUCAAGUCAUUAGUUUUGGUUAAAAUCCAAGUAGGAAUC